GGAGACUCUGGAGUGAAACACCUCAGUGAUCUACUGAUGAACACACAAUUCAAGCUGGAGAAACUAGAUCUGUAUAGAUGCAGUAUUACAGAGAAACAGUGUCUCAUCCUGACUUCAGCUCUGAAAUCAAACCCAUCACACCUGAGAGAACUGAAGCUGAGCGGGAAUCAAAUAAAAGACACAGGAGUGAAUCACUUAUGUGACAUACUGAAGGAU